GAAAGUGCCUGCGGGGGCGGGGAGAGCGCGGCGAGCGCGCGGUCCGGCCGCCCGGGCGCCCGGCGCGGGAGCGGAGCGGAGCGGGACGCCGAGUCCCGAGCGGCCGGCGGCCGGGGCUCCCCGCCCCUCCCUCCCUCUCCGGCGGCGGCGGCGGCGGCGGCGGCGGCGGGCGGAGUGAGCUGCGGAGCCUGGAAUAUGGUGGGGGAAAUGGAAACGAAGGAGAAGCCGAAGCCCACCCCAGAUUACCUGAUGCAGCUGAUGAACGACAAGAAGCUCAUGAGCAGCCUGCCCAACUUCUGCGGGAUCUUCAACCACCUCGAGCGGCUGCUGGACGAAGAAAUUAGCAGAGUACGGAAAGACAUGUACAAUGACACAUUAAAUGGCAGUACAGAGAAAAGGAGUGCAGAGUUGCCUGACGCUGUGGGACCUAUUGUUCAGUUACAAGAGAAACUUUAUGUGCCUGUAAAAGAAUACCCAGAUUUUAAUUUUGUUGGGAGAAUCCUUGGACCUAGAGGACUUACUGCUAAACAGCUUGAAGCAGAAACAGGAUGUAAGAUCAUGGUCCGAGGCAAAGGCUCAAUGAGGGAUAAGAAGAAGGAGGAGCAAAAUCGAGGCAAGCCUAAUUGGGAGCAUCUCAAUGAAGAUUUACAUGUACUGAUUACUGUGGAAGAUGCUCAAAACAGAGCAGAGAUCAAACUGAAGAGAGCCGUUGAGGAAGUGAAGAAGUUACUGGUACCUGCAGCAGAGGGAGAAGACAGUCUGAAGAAGAUGCAGCUGAUGGAGCUUGCGAUUCUCAACGGCACCUACAGAGAUGCCAACAUUAAAUCACCAGCCCUUGCCUUUUCUCUUGCAGCGACAGCCCAGGCUGCUCCAAGGAUUAUCACUGGGCCCGCGCCCGUGCUCCCACCAGCCGCCCUGCGCACUCCGACGCCGGCUGGCCCUACCAUAAUGCCUUUGAUCAGACAGAUACAGACCGCUGUCAUGCCAAACGGAACUCCUCACCCUACUGCUGCAAUAGUUCCUCCAGGGCCCGAGGCUGGGUUAAUCUACACACCCUACGAAUACCCCUACACGUUGGCACCAGCUACAUCAAUCCUUGAGUAUCCUAUUGAACCUAGUGGUGUAUUAGGUAUGGCUUUCCCAACGAAAGGCUAAGAAUUCAAGAACGGUCUUAACUGAACCCUCAUCAGAUCUGAAUUUAACAAAUGCUUAGUCUCAGCAGCCUCCAGGGGGGUGGGAGGGAAGCUUAGCCUAGCAGUCAGUGACUUACUUGCACUUUUUGCACACUGAUAGAAAGUAAAAGUUUGUUAUUAAUUGGUUUAGUCUGUAACCUUACAAAGUAACGGUGAUUUAUACAGGAGUGUAUAGUAGUAUACUGACUGCUAAGUGUACUAUACUGUUUGCUUUACUAAUCACCUAAUUCAUUGCAGUUCAUACUUAUUGACUCGAAGUUUAGAACCACAAUCUGUAGGCUUUAAGAAUUGCAUUUAAACCUUCUUAAGUGAUAGACUCUGGAAGUGUGGUCUUAAGGUUAGCAAAUAAUUGUCAGUAUUAAACAUGGCAUUAUUUAAGUAGUCCUGCUGCAAGAAAGGCACUUCAGUGAAUAUGUGACUAGUAAAGCCUAACUAUGUUUGGAUCUAAUAGAGUUCAUGAAAUCUGUAACUUGGGAUUAUAAAUGAAUGGAUAAAAUAGGUUAAGGCCAAGAUGAUUGAAAUGAAUGCAAUAUUAAUAGAUGCAUAUAUACGCAACAUAUAAUGGUUAAUUUUAAGACUACUGUGCCUUAACGUGUUUCCUAAAACAAAACUUUUGUAGUAAAUGAACAUUUGAAAUCCAUUGUGAUAAACCUGCUGUUAAUGUUUGUUUUCUUUUCCCUUGUGAAUGUUUUCUAACUUUGUCUUGGUAAUUGCAAUUUAACUAGGUGCGGUGGCUACUAAAGUUCGAAGGCACGAUAUGCGUGUCCAUCCUUACCAAAGGAUUGUGACCGCAGACCGAGCCGCCACCGGCAACUAACCUAUGACCUUCUGACCUCUGAACUCUUCACCCAAUGAUGACCUGACCAUGCCUGCCUGCUGAUCAGUUAACUGGUAAUCGCCUUUGCUUGCCUGUCGUCAGUGCAGCGAGCUGAGGCACUUGUCCGUUCGUCUUACCAUCUAACCAAACAAAAGACAAAGAAAUCGUUGUCCUCCAACUCAGCUUUCGUUUGUUUUGUUUUGUUAUUUCUUUUUCUGUUUGGGUGAAAGUGGUUCUAGACCCUGCACUGAAGUGUGUAAAGCAAUAAGGCCCAAUCCAUCCCCCAGCACUGACCACCUUUCAGUGUCCGCCCUAAGCGAACGGUGAGAAGGCCUCACUGCAGAAGGGCCAGCGACAGAGGCAGUUACUGUGAGAGACUUCUAGGAACCUCUCUGCGUAGCGAGUCAGAGCUCUGAAUGUACUGUGCUGAUGCAUCAUGCAUGAACCUUUGGUCAGGGGUGUCAUUGGUGAAGCGAUUUCAAAAAGUAUUCAAAAUUUGACCUGCUCUUUAGUCACUACAGUGCCCUCAAAGGGCAGAAGUCGCAGCCUUUUUUAUAUUGCCUGCCAAAAUUUGAAGUAUUAGAAGUGUGCCAUGAGAGAAAAACUUAACAAGGAAUUUUGGAAAGUAAUGCAAAGAACAAAACUGCAACACUAUUUUUUAAAAGAUAAAUAUCUGAGUUAAAAUUACUGAACCUUUAUUUUACACCUCCUUUAAAAAAUAUAUGAGAACAAGGUACAUGCAUUAUGUGUCACAUUACUGGGCAAACUGUUCAAAUAUUUUUUUUAAACCUCCCUGUAUAGAAAAAAAUCAUUAAGGAUGUAAAAGCCAUGCUUGCCUAUUUGCUGUAUACAUGUAAUGAAAUUGUAGAUAAAGUGUAGUGCAUUGAAACAAAUGAACAAAAAAAGUAGAUACUUUUACUAUACAAGGGUGCUGGUGCAGAAAAAAUAUAUAUAUUUUUGGAAAUGUAGCAUUUUAUACUUUCAAGUGUUAUAAAAAAAAGAAAAAGAACAAAGAAACCCUUUAUUUCAUUAAAUGAUUUUUUCUGGUGGUUGUCAAGAAACAAAAGACCAAAAGAGCCUUUUUGUCUUUCUUUUUUAUUUUUUAAGUAUUGGAAUAAGUCUAAAGAAAAGAAAGUGCCUUAUUUUCCUUCAUGGUCAUUUAGUCAAGUGUCUUGUAAGAUCAGCUCCUCCCUCAGAAUACAAGUCAAUGCCUGUCACUCAGUCGCCCAGUAUGUGAAAGAAGAUGUGAGGGGAGACACGUGAGUUGAUGGUUUGAAUUAAAUGAUUUUUGCCACAUUACCUUGAUAUCAAUUUGCCAAAUCUGAUACUGUGAAAAAAUUUGAUAACUUUUCUAAUUCCUAACAAGUAAGUUUGAAAACAUCCUCUUAAAAUCACAAUUGAGUGCUUUUGGUAAUUGGUAUACGUAAUGUUAGCCCAAAGGGUUCUGAAAUAAACAUUACGUGUGAUUAGAACACCAUUUCAUAGACAAAAUUAGAACUCUUAUUUGGUGGGCGUGUUGUUGGAUUUUUUUCUUAUUAAUCGGUGGUAAUAGUAUAAACAGCAGUCUUUUUCACAAGAGUGAAUCUUUGUGAUUUUCAUUCUGGAUAACAGUGUUUGUAAAUGACCCAAAUUUAAAUCAGACUCAUUUCUACAGAACCAGAUCACUUGUGUAGUCCAUCUCUGCUGGUUUUAGUGGCCUAAGCCGCGAACACACACACGAACACACACACACACACACACACACAUGAACACACACACACACACACACACACAUGAACACACACACACACACACACACACACACAUGAACACACACACACACACACGAACACACACACACACACACAGACACACACACACACACACACACACACACACACACACACACACCACGCCCCCAGCCCCCACUUAACUUUAAAGGGAUGAGAGAAACUAGCAUCAUUGUGCAUAGACUACUCAACUACAUGUGAGCAUGAACGUGCAGUGUCUCCGGACGUUCAGUCCGCUCUGCAGCUGCAGCGACCUGUGCACAAAGCUCUGCAGCAGAACUCGAGCUUGCAGGUCUCACUGACCUGUGAGCCAGCACUGAAUGCCCAGUACCAGAUGUGGCAAAUGGCGAGUGGCUGUAGGUCCCCAGGUCAUCAACUCCUGCCCUCUGCACACCGUCACGGCUUCACAGUCAAAGGUCAGCAGUAAGCUCAGUAAGCACCUUCGUGGUGACCUCCGUCAUCUUGUCCCCUUGGAAACCGUUUUUAGUUAUUCACUAUGCAACAGACAUUAGUUGUUUGUGCUCAGCUAGCUUUGGUGAGCGUGACACUGCGUGUCUCUCUGUCACACGCAGAGCUGUUUUGCUUGAUUUACUGUAUGUGCUGUGCCGUUUUGAUUUUUAUUUUGUUUGGUUGGUUGAAUAAAUUUGCGACACUCAAACACUUGAGGUGAUAGUUUAAAAACGAUACCAGUAUUUGAUCCAGUUUCAUCUCAACUGUGUUAUACCUGGACAUUUUAGAUGUUUAUCAAAGGUCUUUUAUGGGGAAGAAAGUAAAUGUAUGAAAUAAAUGCGUGACAUUGAUGAGUAAUGUUGGCUCUGAACAAACGUUUGAAAACUUAGUUGAUAAAAUUUUGGAUCAACUGAAAAAAAGCAUGACUUUUGAAAUCUCUGAAUGCCUUGGUUCUCAGUAUUAUCAUUCUUUAUUGAAUUUCUUUCUUAUUAAAAUAUGUAGUUUUUAAGACUUUUUUUCUGACAGUAUUAUGUAAUUUUUUAGCGCGGGUAGAUGGGAGUGUCGCUUGUAUGUUACCGUACGGCUGACAUGUAUUUUUGUCUAUUCUUUAUUAUCUCAGUAGUUUCAUGCUAUGUAUGUACCAUAACCAACCUAUUGCCUAUGAGAAACAUGUAAGAUAAUGUAUUUACAGCCAUUGUUACAAGUUUAUAAUGUAUUUUUCUAUCUUGUUUUAUAUGUAUGUUAUAUAACAUUCAAAAAGAAUUUUUUUCUUGAUUGAGAAAAGGAUACAAAAUGCAGAAUCCACAAUUUUGAUAACUGAAAAUUGCCAAUUGUUUUCCAGUACUUUAUUACAUUGGGUGUCUUGUCUUUCUUGGGCUUUUAGUUAGCUAAUGAAUGAAUACAUUAGACACUUUUGGGUUUUAGUUGGGAUUUUACAUAGCUUGCAUUUUAAUUCUUUGGUUCUUUGCUGUUUCUAUUAACCCAUAGCAUUAUUUUAAUAAAUGUUAUAAUAUCAACCUACUAACUCUGGACUAUGUCUGUUUAUUAACCUUUACAUGUUUAAUUAAAAUAAACAAAUAAAGACAAAAGAAUGUAAAGUCUUGAAUUACUGGACUAACCCUGAAGAAAGUGACCACAGAUAACAUAGCGUGACUUGUUUUUAUGUUGUCUGUCAGCUGACAGUUCCACGCACUACUGUUAAAAUGGCUUUGGUUAUUCUGGCCUUUUACCUUGGGGGGUAGGUGCCAGUAGAGACGGGAACAAAGUAGUGUUGGUUUGAAGCGUUCUAGUCUUGCCACCUGCCUUUCAACUUCUGCAUUACUAAUUCCACACUUUCUUAUUUUUCCUUCUCCAAAAUAAUCACUGUCUGCUCACAGCAUAAAGAGUAAAGAGAUUUAUCGUAAUGAUAUACCCAAGAAACCAGUUUGAUUCUUUGUUGAACCAUUUUUUAAAUUUCUAUAAGUAGAUAAUCUAAUGGUCACAUUAUAAAGCAAAGCAUCUGAUGACGUUUUACCUUUCUUCGCAUUGGUGUUUUAAUUGGACAUUUUUCCAGUGUAAAGUUAUGAACUGUUUUGGCUAGCUGCUCCUGUUACGGAAAGCCAAAGGUAGAGUGGCUCCGUGUCUCAGGCCAGCCCAGCGUCGGCCGUUGAUGACGACCACGGACGCAGGUCCCUCAGCACGAGGUCAGGCGGCAUCGCUGAGCUUGCUCCCUCACCCUCUUCCACAGUACAGUCAGAGUGCAUCGAUGCAAGAAGUCAGGGGGAGGGACCGUGCAUUCGGAAAGGAAUACAUGUAUCAUUGUUUGCAUGGGAGUUAAUUUAAGGAGAUUUAUUAACUUGCCUUCCUGCUUUUCUUAGCUGUGGCCUAGGUAAACUGACUGCUACUUACCGAUUCUUUUAACUCUUGAGGUGCAUUUAUGUUUCACAGAUGGUGGUAUUUCCUUUUCUGUGAAAUGGUCCUCCAGGAUGAUGAAAGUUCUCAGGACGAAUUUUUGCAUUUGCAAAUAAUGCCUUAUUUUUGUAAAUUGCUUUUUAUUUAUUUUAAAGUUCUAAAAUUUGGGGCUGAAGUGAGUCACACGUUACAGAAGACAUAAACACACCAAUAUGGUAUUAACCAGACUGUCAAAACGCAGUCCCAUAGUGUGUAUACAUACAUGGGGUACAUAGAGGAGCGAGGGCGUCAGGUUUAAUCAUAACUGAGGUGGUUCUCUCCAUCAAACAAAUACACUGCUUCUCUGAUGGGAUGGGGGUAAUCUAUUAUUGUUAGGUAGACAGCUUUAAUAUGCUACUAUCCAUAAAAUUUCACAUUGCCAUACAGUUAAUAUAUGUUAUUUUGUAAAAAUUUGAAGAUAACUUUCAAGCUGCUAGUAUACAAGUCAUCAUGGUACCAUGUCACUGAAGUUGAUUAAGAAUUUCUAUGUAUUUUAUUCUACAUUUUCUGAAGCCUGUGAAUGCAGUCUCAUCUCAUUGUCAGUUAAGAGAACUUUUAUGUAUAAUUACGUUGUAUUGCCACCUUUUAUGUUGGAAAAGUCCCGUUUUAAAAGGCAAAAAUGACAAAACCCAUUUUUAUACAGGAUACAAUAGUAUUAAAUUUGAAAUCACCAAAUUGUUAGAAUGAUAAAAGGCCAGGGUCAGUUUAUUGUUCUAUAUUACUAGUAUUUGACAAAGCAAUUGGAAGUUAAGCUUUCAGUCGAGAAGUUGGUAAAGUUAUAUACUUGCAGUCAAGCAUUUUCCUCUGGGAAAAUAGAGCAUGAAAGUCGAUACUCACCAACACACUAGUGCAGUCUGUGCGGGAGAGCCCACCUCGGGGGCGGUCAGAGCGCCCUGUCCAUAAAGCCAAGAUGUGCGAAUGUUCACACGAGAUAGGAGGUGGUUAAGGUUUCUCAAUAAAUACUGAAUAAAUACGAAGGGCUGUAAGUUUUUUAAGUACACCAAAAGCAGAUGGUAGGUGUAAUUUAAAUUACAUUGAAUUGGUCAUUACCAAAUCAAGACUCUUCUUUACCAGCUACCUUUUAUAAAUGACAGUCUAUAAAGUUUCUCCAGUUUGAGGGGGAGGGGUUUGUGUGUUUGAAAUAAGAUGUCUGUCAUGUCUUGGUAACAAUUAGCAAUUGUAGGGUUACCAGCAAGUGAUUUUUAGUAGAAUGAAAUGUAUUGCUAGAUUAUAAUCCAUUAUUUAAUAGCAAAAGUUAUCCAGAGAACUUUUUAUAGACUCAUAAACUUUCUAAGUAAACGUAAUUUUUAAACAUCCUCAAAAGUUUCUUACUAUUUAAAAUGGAAAAAUAAUUCAUCUUAUAGAUAAUUUUACUUUUAGAGAGAUUCAUAUGGUACACGCAUGUAAUUUUAUCUGUGGUUUCUUUUAACAUAUUACCUAAGCUGAAAUGCCUUUGCUAUGAAGACACAUAACAAAAUUAUAUACCUUCCUGGUACUCAAUGCUGAAUCAAACUGGUUCCCCUGAGUGUAGUGCUCUCCUUUCUGUGUUUCUGCUGCACUAAUUGCAGGGGGUUGGGAGAGAAGGAGAAGAAUUAAUUCAUAGGAGAAGUGGUCGGUAGGUGCAGCAAAUAGCACAACCUGGACUUCUCACUGCUUACAAUUUUGCUGUCCCUUCAUGGCAAAAGACACCGCAUUGCAGAUAAAGCACAGCUCCCAGAAAAAAAAAAAAUAUAUAUAUAUAUAUAUAUUAUAUCUUUUUGAAAAUGCUAUUAUUGAGAAAUUUUGAUUACCAAAUACAUCAUUUAUGGCUUAUAUUGUAGUGGUGUGUAUGAAACAGUUAGAACUCGUGGAAAUUGUCUAUACAGAGAGAAGUUGAAAUAGGCCUUUCCAAAUCGUAUGUGAAUGGAGAACCACAUAUGACUGUACAUGACGUGCAAUAAACCAACUGGAAAAAGUG